GUUGGGCUAUUUCUUUCUGUCCGGGUGGGGAUCAACUUCAAGCAGACAACAUGCAUGCGUAUAACGACACUGAAGAUUUUCUUUUUUUUUUAAAUAAAGACAGUUGUUGUCAGUCAUGACGUCCUUGAAUAGAUCAGUUAGAAAGCAAGGUUUGAAGUUUAAGUACACUGGAAAACCUCAUUUCUAGUGUUGAAAAUAGAGGGAGCAAAAGUUCCA
rnacentral:lncRNA from 1 species